AAUGAACGUUGGCGGCAUGGAUUAGGCAUGCAAGUCGGGGGAAUCCCAGCAAUGGGGGGACCGGCGUAAGGGGCAGUAAGGCAUGGGUACCUACCUUGGGGUUCGGGAUAGCCAUCAGAGAUGGUGGGUAAUACCGGAUGACGUCGUGAGACCAAAGAUUCAUCGCCCUUAGAGGGGCCCAUGUGAUAUUAGCUAGUUGGUGGGGUAACGGCCCACCAAGGCGAAGAUGUCUAGCGGGUGUGAGAGCACGACCCGCGCCACUCGCACUGAGACACUGGCGAGACACCUACGGGUGGCUGCAGUCGAGGAUCUUCGGCAAUGAGCGCAAGCUUGACCGAGCGAUGCCGCGUGAGCGAUGAAGGCCUUCGGGUUGUAAAGCUCUUUAGUGGGGGAGAAAAGCCGCAAGGUGUGAUCUAUCCCAAAAAUAAGCACGGGCUAAGUUCGUGCCAGCAGCCGCAGUAA
rnacentral:rRNA from 1 species